GGGAUUGUGGCUCAGCGGUAGAGCACUUGCCUAGCACGUGAGAGGCCCUGGGUUUGAUCCUCAGCACCA
rnacentral:tRNA from 1 species